rnacentral:rRNA from 1 species
GACGAAGGGGGCUAGCGUUGUUCGGAAUUACUGGGCGUAAAGCGCGUGUAGGCGGUUGUUCAAGUCGGGUGUGAAAGCCUUGAGCUCAACUCAAGAAAUGCACUUGAUACUGGAUGACUAGAGGACCGGAGAGGAUAGUGGAAUUCCCAGUGUAGUGGUGAAAUACGUAGAGAUUGGGAAGAACACCAGUGGCGAAGGCGACUUACUGGACACAUAUUGACGCUGAGGUGCGAAAGCGUGGGGAGCAAACAGG